UGCAGUCGAACGGUGAAGCCCUUCGGGGUGGAUCAGUGGCGAACGGGUGAGUAACACGUGGGCAAUCUGCCCUGCACUCUGGGACAAGCCCUGGAAACGGGGUCUAAUACCGGAUAUGACCUUCCUCCGCAUGGGGGUUGGUGGAAAGCUCCGGCGGUGCAGGAUGAGCCCGCGGCCUAUCAGCUUGUUGGUGGGGUAAUGGCCUACCAAGGCGACGACGGGUAGCCGGCCUGAGAGGGCGACCGGCCACACUGGGACUGAGACACGGCCCAGACUCCUACGGGAGGCAGCAGUGGGGAAUAUUGCACAAUGGGCGAAAGCCUGAUGCAGCGACGCCGCGUGAGGGAUGACGGCCUUCGGGUUGUAAACCUCUUUCAGCAGGGAAGAAGCGCAAGUGACGGUACCUGCAGAAGAAGCACCGGCUAACUACGUGCCAGCAGCCGCGGUAAUACGUAGGGUGCGAGCGUUGUCCGGAAUUAUUGGGCGUAAAGAGCUCGUAGGCGGCCUGUCGCGUCGGAUGUGAAAGCCCGGGGCUUAACCCCGGGUCUGCAUUCGAUACGGGCAGGCUAGAGUGUGGUAGGGGAGAUCGGAAUUCCUGGUGUAGCGGUGAAAUGCGCAGAUAUCAGG
rnacentral:rRNA from 1 species